GCCAGGUACUUCAGCAUCUGCUGCCCGUGCAGCUUCCUGCUGUAUAAGGGAUGGUCUAACCAGCACCUCCUGAUCAGGGGCUGCAGAUGCCACCGCAUACUUCUUCCUGCGCUUGGGUUUCACCGUGCCACGGAUAUUCGCAGGCUUGCUGCGCUUGGAGCGUAGAGUAAUGUACACCACGUUGGGCUGCAAAGUGCUUCCAUUGCCCUGCAACUCUGGAGGGGCCAGGGUACCAUCCAGGGGAAUCUCAGAGAAGGCCCACCUGGCUCACCAGAAAGCCCAGGUAGAUGGCACAGGCAGUGCCCAGCAGGAGGUUCCGUCUGGUCCUGGGACGCCGACUACUCCAAAGUUUACACACUCGUGGGGCGCACAGAGAGCAGACAAACCAGUUUACGAGCUGCCCCGGCUUGUCUGGACAGGUCAUUUCUCUGCCGCUUCCACAUGCUGAACUGAGUUUAAAGUCUGCAGCUGGCUCUUUACUUACACAGCUGGCCCCACGCUUAGCUCCAGGAAGAAUGGAAUUCCUGACUCUAAUGCACAGAACUUUGAAAGGCUGAGGCGAGCCAUCCUUGACUGCAGUAAUCACCAGCUCAGAGGCAAUUCCUUGUUUCAUUUUUGCACUAAUUGCUU
rnacentral:lncRNA from 1 species